AUGGUGGGCGGCGGAGGCCCCGUCGCAGCCACCCUAGCGGCUCAGCCCGGGCGCCGCUCCCUGAUAGGCCGCUCCACGCCCCGCCCCUUGCUUCCCGCCGCUCCCAUUGGCCACACCGCCAGCCAGCGCUGCUCUGAUUGGCUGCCGAGGCGUCGCUCCCGCUCUGCCCGCAGCGGAGCUAUUUUCCAGGCGGCGGCGGCGGCGGGGGAGGGGAGGGGAGCGGAGGAGCGGAGCGGAGGGGCCCGGCCCGGCCCGGCCCCGCGGAGCGCCCGGCGGCUGCGGGACAUGGCGGGGGCACGGCGCGGGGCUCAGCACCGCGAAUCCCAGAUAACAGCAAUAAUCAUGUCCACAACUGAGAGAAGGCAUCUAGCAAGUUCAUGUUGAGGUAUAUUCUCAAGUCAAGACACAGCAGUGGCUCAUGCUUUUCUGGGUAAGAAUGCUCUUGACUAUGACAAAGUAAUCGACUUUAAAUUUAACUUUCAAAAAAUAGUUUGUUAAGCCAAUAUGGUGGGGAUUUUGUGGAUGGAUGGAUUUUUUUGUUUGUUUGUUUGUUUUGGGAAGUUGUGGGCAGGUAUAAAGGACUUCCAACCCAUCCAAUAGCCUAAAGGCAUUUUAGACUAAUAGUGCAAAGGAAGAGCAAUAGUGAGCAAUAGUGAAUAAUGUAUGACUGGUCAGAAGAGCAAUUCUGAGUCAUUGUCACAAACAUAUGUAUAGUUUGUAGCCUUCUUUCCCAAGGGAAGGGAGAUUAUAUAUUGUCUCUUCAUUUUUGCUUCCCAAAACUUUAAAUUUUGUUGGCUGGCUUCAGCUGAAUUAUGACAACGGGUUAGUAGGUGUCACAAAGAUAAAUUUAUAUAUCUUGGUGGCUUGAAAGAAGAAGAAAUGGAGAAUGUGAGAGAAAAGUGGGUAGAACUUAACUUUAUAUAUAUGGUGUUGACAGGCAGACACAUCAAACGUAUGCUGCUUCUGCGUAAGUGUGGAUAAUCUGAGAGACUCCACAAGCAGCUCUGAUUAUUGUGAUGGCAUGAUAGGUGCUUGUAUAGUUUCUACAAAUCUGUACAUGGUCUGGUGCUCUUAAAACUCCCCCAGUCCUCCAGCUUGGUCCAGACCACUCCAGAAAAAAAUAAUGUAGCAGUUUGUUAAAUGAGGAGGACGUUCCUCACUCAUGUGCUUACACACUUUCACUUUUAACAUGUGCACAGAACUCUGUAGAGUCUGCUACAUGUAAGACUUCCUGUCUUAGCUAGUUUUUCUCUAUCUAAAAGUUACUUGAAAAAGUGUCUUCCUUCUUAACAACUGCUUGGGUUUUAUUCAGAUUAUCAUCAGCACUGUGUUCUAGGUAACUUGCACCAGCAAUCUACAGAGGCUGUUAACAUCUUUUUUUUUUUCUUUUUUCCUUCCAUCCACCUCCCUGAGUCCAUGCUAAGUUCUUAAGGUUUUAUUUUAUGUAAUUAGGUGUAGAUACCUAGCUUACUGGUUUUGCUGAAGUAUUUGAGGAAGGAAUGGGGGAAAAAUCUUUUUUAUUCCUAUAGCAGUUAGGAAGAAUUUCAAGUCAUCUGUUCGUAAUUCUCAUGUAAGCCAUACCUCUGACUUAUCCUCAGUGCCAGUGGAUUCUGCUACAGUCAUAGGCUUACAGCUGUGCUUCUAUCUUAAGGGGCUUCUAGGCUGCAUUGCUAGACUAUUGCUUCCUUGUCUAUCAUCCGUGUUAUUUCACAAGACCCAGUGGGUUUGAUCUCUGUUUUAGAUUCCUGUCUAGCUGGGGGGGGAAAAAAAACACAGCAGCAACAGAGGAAUGUUACUUCAAAAUAAUGUAUAUCCAUACAAGUGAGCAGUUUCCAUUAAGAGUUAAAUAUGAUGACAUGUUUUAGUUCUUUUAAGUUCAGCACUUCUCUCAGAACUUAAUUAGAUCUAAUUUAGUUUGGCAUCGCCUGACUUCUCAGUACAGAAUUAACCUGUUUCUGUGUCCUAGGGCAGUCCUGUGAUUUUGGCAGUCCUGUUCCAGUUAUCAGACUAUGUUUCUGAAGAAGCAGUUGCAGAACACACACUGCUAAUGUGUUUAUCUCUUUACUGUAUCUCCAUGAUUCACUAUCACUGUUUUUACUGCAGAGCUGCUUUCUUUUUAAGUGCUCUUACUAAAGAUUGAAGAGUUUCUUGUGCUCUUUUAUGACUUGAGUAAUAAAGCCAGAUGUUUUUUAGAUGUAUGUAUGCAUAGAUGUCUGUCUGGCUGUUACUAAUGUAUUAGAGGCUUUAUAAUUCUAAAGUUUUGCUGAUACCUUAUUGCUUCCCUUUUUUUUGUGUGAAUGCUGAACACUCCAAAUUUCAAUUUUUGUGCAAUUUCAUCUUGUCUUUUGUAACUGUUCUCAUAGUUGGGAGUCACCAAAAUUGUUCUUUGUCAGGAUUUGUUUUAUUACUACCUACUGGAAGCUUAUCAAGCAGUCAUAAGUUAAAUGUGACACCUAAAAUGAAGAAUUUGAGAUCGUAUUUCCUGUCUGUCAAGUGCAAUUAUGCAGCUCUACCUAAAUUUUUAAUCAUCUGAUGAAAGUACAGAGGGGGCUGUAAAUCAAAUGUUUGUAAUUUCCAAAACAUUUUCUUCUAGGUAAUUUUUCUAAGUCUCAGAACGGUGUGAUGCCUGCCAGUGCUACGUAUCUGUGCAAGUGUGAGGGCACUUCAGCUGUAGUGUGUUCAGUCUGUAACUUAAUUGAUAACUGAAGGUGUGCUCUCAUUUUUUAAACUGUUCUAUUACAAUAUUUUUUCUUCUUUU
rnacentral:lncRNA from 1 species